AAGCGGCAACAGCUCAAAUUUGAAAUCUGGCUCUUUCAGGGUCCGAGUUGUAAUUUGCAGAGGGCGCUUUGGCUUUGGCAGCGGUCCAAGUUCCUUGGAACAGGACGUCACAGAGGGUGAGAAUCCCGUACGUGGUCGCUAGCUAUUGCCGUGUAAAGCCCCUUCGACGAGUCGAGUUGUUUGGGAAUGCAGCUCUAAAUGGGAGGUAAAUUUCUUCUAAAGCUAAAUACUGGCCAGAGACCGAUAGCGCACAAGUAGAGUGAUCGAAAGAUGAAAAGCACUUUGGAAAGAGAGUCAAACAGCACGUGAAAUUGUUGAAAGGGAAGCGCUUGCAGCCAGACUUGCUUGCAGUUGCUCAUCCGGACUUUUGUCCGGUGCACUCUUCUGCAGGCAGGCCAGCAUCAGUUUGGGCGGUGGGAUAAAGGUCUCUGUCACGUACCUCUCUUCGGGGAGGCCUUAUAGGGGAGACGACAUACCACCAGCCUGGACUGAGGUCCG
rnacentral:rRNA from 1 species